AGUGAACGCUGGCGGCAGGCCUAACACAUGCAAGUCGAACGGCAGCACAGUAAGAGCUUGCUCUUACGGGUGGCGAGUGGCGGACGGGUGAGGUAUACAUCGGAAACUACUUUUUCGUGGGGGAUAAUGUAGGGAAACUUACGCUAAUACCGCAUACGACCUACGGGUGAAAGCAGGGGAUCUUCGGACCUUGCGCGAUUGAAUGAGCCGAUGUCGGACUACCUAGUUGGCGGGGUAAAGGCUCACCAAGGCGACGAUCCGUAGCUGGUCUGAGAGGAUGAUCAGCCACACUGUAACUGAGACACGGCCCAGACUCCUACGGUAGGCCGCAGUGCGGAAUCUUGCGCGAUGCGCGCGUGCCUGAUCCUGCCAUACCGCGUAGGUGCAGAAGGCCUUCGGGUUGUAGAACCCUUUUGUUGGUAGAGAAGAACAGCUCUUUAAUACCCCGCUGUACUGACGGUACCCAAAGAAUAAGCCCCGGCUAACUUCGUG
rnacentral:rRNA from 1 species